AAUUAUUAAAAACCCCAAUUACCCAACCAGACGUUUAAUUGUUUUAACCCAUUGUAUUUUAUUAUAAGAACAGGUUACCCGAUAUUUUAAUCGUAAUACCCUAUCAUUAUAAUAGUCACUUACAAUUUAAUUAUAAUAUAUUUGCAACUGCACCCAAAUAAUUGCGGUCGAAGUCCAAAUGAAGAUACGGUUUCAAAAGAAGGACGAGGAAUAUAGGCGCGCUCUUUAUAUUAUUCGGGGUGAUGGAAAACCGGAGUGUGUAUUAAACAAGCAAUUAUACCAAAAGUUAACAGCUUCGUGUGCCGCUGUUCAAAUUAAACAAUACUUGGUUGUUUAUUACUUGCGGCCGCAAAAUCCAUCUCCAAAUAUCCUAUUAAUUAUGCAGGGGGCGAAGCGCCUGGUCUAGGCGACCAAGCUAGAUUUGCGCCGCUCCCGGAUUCUUCAUACCCCCAACCUUGCAAUAUUCUUUUUGCUUGGGUAUAAUCACACGCCUGCCUUUGACAAUGCACUGCUCCCCAAUAUUCGCCCCCGUUUUGGUACCGGGUAUAUCCAGUUGCUACCCAAUUAGCUUGAUUCAUCGCGUUAAUAAAAGAAGUUUUCCAUUGGGUUGCUUCUGUUUCGUCUUGCUGAAUAAGGAUUGGGCGAGCCGAGAACUUCAUUUUGAAACUUUGAGGCGCAGCGGUGGCGGUAGCAGCCAGAAGCCCCAAGGCCAAAUAGGUCCGAGUAAAAGAAACCAUUUUAAAAGGAUGAAAAGUAAAGUAUAAAGUGAAACUAAUUUGUUAGAAAGCGAAGUGUUUUCAACUGAGGCAAUGAAAAGAUGAACCUUUAGUCUGCAGAUAGUAUGGUUUAUAGUUUUUGGCCUUAUAAUAUUCAGAGGAUGAAUAAAGUAUAUAUAUUAAUUCUGGCUGCAGGUUACCCAGAGUUUUUUUUUCUUAUAAUCGUGCAUUAUUUGGGAUCUUAUAAUAAGUAACAAGGGUUUAUGGCAUGAAAUAUUAUAUAAUAUAUAAAAUAUUGCAUAAUUUGAAAUGCAUUUACUAUUUAUAUAAUAAGUUUCAAACAGAGUUUUUAUAAAUUAAUUAAUCAAAAAACGUACUAUGGUAGCGGGCAAAAAGAAACCACCCCUUGUAACCGUAUAUAUAUACGUGGGCCUUUAUUAAUUUAACUGUUCGCGGGAACCAUUAAAUACCUAAAUAACUUUUUUGUCCAAAAUUAUUACCAAAGUCGGCAAAACCCACAGAGCCCACACCAGUGGACACUGUACAGGGGGAUUAAUUUUUACCUUUACCACCAUAGUAAUUACGGAUAAAAGUGGUAUUUUUAUAUAUAUUAUAAAAUUAUUUAUAUUCGCGUUUGUAAUAAGUUUAGGGCUUGUUUUGAUUUAUAAUUAAAAUUAAAGCCCCCAUCGCAGAAUAACCCAAACGCGUAAAAUAUUUUACUAGCCAUAUAGUUUUUCCAUCAGUUAUAUUACUGAAAAAUAUUAGGCCUUCUCUUAGUUGAAAGGCACUUUGCUAAUUUGGUAGUCUUAGGAUUUACACCUAAAGCCCAUAGUUCCGCAAUUAAACCUAUAAUUUAACUGUAGCUUUAUUUAUACCCCGUGGAUCUGAAACAAUUCGCUUCGGUUUGGAUCUGAAACCAUCGCGUCGGUUUCGGUUUCGGUAGCAUAUAACCUCCUCGAUUUUAUUAAUUAACGAAAGUUUAUUCGGUAAUAACAAAUUUAAUAAAAACUGUAAAAGUACGCGGUUUGCACGUUGGAUACCAAAGUUAGCCAAAGUAUUAUAAAACGAUUUGAUUUUUAUUCUUAAUGCGCAAAUUGGUAAGCUUGGAUUGAAAAUCGGAAAAGUCCGUCGACGUUUUUUUUAAACUUUAUUAAAAUAUUCAAAUUUGGAUUUUAUAGAAUUAAUAUUUUAUUUAUAGAUAUAAUUUUGUAGUUUUUGCUAGUAGGGAUUAAUAAAGAAAUAAACUAUAUAUCAGAGUUUUGGUAAUAAUAGUACCUAAUAUAACAUAUUAAAAAACUAGAGGGUAGCAAAAUAUAAACUUUAUUAAAUUUAUAAUGGAAACGGGUUUAUAUUUUUACCAAUUUCACCGAUAUUUAAAGUAUAGUUUCAAAGACUGGGCUUUAUAUAAAAACAAACGUCCACUGGAAACGCGUGUUAUAAGAGGCCGAGAAUUGGUAAUUUUAUAUGGAAGAAUAUAUUUUUUGCAAAUGUUAUUAUUUUGUAAAUAAUAUCCUGAUGAGAAUAUAAGUAGAGAUAAUAUUUUAACCAUUAAAACGUCUAUUCCCGCAAUAAUAUUAGGUAAUAUAACAGUAAUAAAGUAUUAAACCUAUUAUUUCUAAAAAUAAAGUUUAAUUAAUAAAUUAAAUUUGAUUUAUAAAUUUAAUGCAAAAUUGGCACGUGCAAGUUCAGAGGUACCUAGACAGAAUUAAACCCUGUGGUUGCCAGGCAAAUUUAGGAAACUGUUGCAUUAGAUAAAU
rnacentral:sRNA from 1 species